UACGAAGGGGGCUAGCGUUGCUCGGAAUGACUGGGCGUAAAGGGCGCGUAGGCGGAUUGUACAGUCAGGCGUGAAAUUCCCGGGCUCAACCUGGGGGCUGCGCUUGAGACGUGCGAUCUUGAGUGGGGAAGAGGGUCGUGGAAUUCCCAGUGUAGAGGUGAAAUUCGUAGAUAUUGGGAAGAACACCGGUGGCGAAGGCGGCGACCUGGUCCUUGACUGACGCUGAGGCGCGAAAGCCAGGGGAGCAAACGGG
rnacentral:rRNA from 1 species